rnacentral:rRNA from 1 species
UUCUGGCUCAGGAUGAACGCUGGCGGCACGCCUAACACAUGCAAGUCGAACGGAGUUAUGGAGCUUGCUCCAAUAAACUUAGUGGCGGACGGGUGAGUAACACGUGAGCAACCUGCCUUUCAGAGAGGGAUAGCUUCUGGAAACGGAUGGUAAUACCUCAUAACAUACGGAUUUGGCAUCUUAUCCGUAUCAAAGAUUUAUCGCUGAAAGAUGGGCUCGCGUCUGAUUAGCUUGUUGGUGAGGUAACGGCCCACCAAGGCAACGAUCAGUAGCCGGACUGAGAGGUUGAACGGCCACAUUGGGACUGAGACACGGCCCAGACUCCUACGGGAGGCAGCAGUGGGGAAUAUUGCGCAAUGGGCGCAAGCCUGAAUGCAGCGAUGCCGCGUGAGGGAAGAAGGUUUUCGGAUUGUAAACCUCUGUCAUCGGGGACGAAAAUGACGGUACCCGAGAAGGAAGCUCCGGCUAACUACGUGCCAGCCGCUGC